UAGCACAGUAUGAGAGUAGAGACGAGAAGGAUCUAGAAGAAAUGGUGUGACAUUUCCUCCCAAGGCAUAUCAAGAGCAUCUUAAGAGAAGGAAGUCAACUAUUUCCUUCUUUCUUCAAGCUAUUAAGUAGAUGUAGAAACCACAGUCAUAGGUUAAGAGGAGUUGAGAAGGAGAAACUUGUACCCAUGGAUGUUGGAAGGAGUGGACUUGGGAACUCUUUCAUUUUCUACCAAAGUAGUGAACAACUCGUGAAGAUCAGUGGGGGGAAAUCAAGAGAUUAAAGGUUGAAGAUUCCAGAAGGUGACUUGCUAUCUGGUGGAUUUUAUGAUUAUGCGAGGGACUUGGGAGUAACGGCACGUUGGCUGUGAUACCAGUGAGUGAAUAGGGACUUAUCCAAUACACUAUAGUGUUGAUUGGGCAGUACUAGGAUCGUCCUCGGCAUAUUGGAACAUUCCGUUGUUUUGGUGAUUCCAGCACCUGUUGUGCGGGUAUUUUGUAUAUGUUAUCUUUUGGAUUUAGGUUCAUCUUCAGCAUUAGAUACUCCAUCUAAACACAGUUCAGACACUUCUUGUAUAUAUGGGCAAUAGGCCAGUAAUGUACUGGACAUGUAAUGUUAUGAGACAUUCCUAUCAUAUGCUGUUUAUAUGUUUCGUCUAUUUUGGUUUGAGGCUUGCUUGACCUUGGUGGAUCCGUUCCAUUGGGGUCAUGCGCCGGUCACAUGUCGUAUUUGGGUCGUGACAAUCAUAUUGCUUUAAUGUUUAAGGCUUAUGAUUUCCUUAUUGAUUGUCCAAGUUCAAUUCUCA